GCGCACCCUCGCCUUUAGUUGCCAGCAUGUUUGGGUGGGCACUCUAGAGGAACUGCCGGUGACAAGCCGGAGGAAGGUGGGGAUGACGUCAAGUCCUCAUGGCCCUUAUGUCCUGGGCUACACACGUGCUACAAUGGCGGUGACAGUGGGAAGCUAUGUGGCGACACAAUGCUGAUCUCUAAAAGCCGUCUCAGUUCGGAUUGCACUCUGCAACUCGAGUGCAUGAAGGUGGAAUCGCUAGUAAUCGCGGAUCAGCAUGCCGCGGUGAAUACGUUCCCGGGA
rnacentral:rRNA from 1 species